AUUUUUGUAAGCUAUGUUAAGCUAUUGAGUUCAUACCUCAAAAAAGAUUUUUAUCCAAAAAUUUUUGUUUUGACGUCAAAAA
rnacentral:tRNA from 1 species